AGUGAACGCUGGCGGCGUGGAUUAGGCAUGCAAGUCGCGCGAACCGCAGGUAGCGGCAAACGGUAGGGUAAUAGAUGAACAAUCUGCCCUUAACGUCAGGCAUAGCUUCGUGAAAACGGAAGGUAAUUCCUGAUAAGGUCAGCGAAGCGCAUGCUUUGCGAUUAAAGGUGGGGCCGCAAGGCCUACCACUUAAGGAUGAGUUCGUCUCCUAUCAGCUAGUUGGUGAGGUAACGGCCCACCAACGGCUUAUGACGGGUAGCUGGUCUGAGAGGAUGGUCAGCCACACUGGGACUGAGACACUGCCCAGACUCCUACGGGAGGCUGCAGUCGAGAAUAUUUAGCAAUGGGCGAAGCCUGACUAUGCGACGCCG
rnacentral:rRNA from 1 species